rnacentral:tRNA from 2 species
GACUACAUAAGUCAUUAAUUAGGUUGACUUGUAAUCAGUAGGUCCCGGGUUCGACUCCUGGUGUCGGCACCA